rnacentral:tRNA from 1 species
UAGAUAAUAAGUUAUAAUUAAACUAUAGGGCUCAUGCCCCUAAAAAGAUCCAAUCUUAUCUAA